rnacentral:rRNA from 1 species
CAGUGGGAAUAUUGCACAAUGGGGGAAACCCUGAUGCAGCCAUGCCGCGUGUGUGAAGAAGGCCUUCGGGUUGUAAAGCACUUUCAGUAGGGAGGAAGGUAGUGUAGUUAACACCUGCAUUAUUUGACGUUACCUACAGAAGAAGCACCGGCUAACUCCGUGCCAGCAGCCGCGGUAAUACGGAGGGUGCGAGCGUUAAUCGGAAUUACUGGGCGUAAAGCGCAUGCAGGCGGCCUGUUAAGUCAGAUGUGAAAGCCCGGGGCUUAACCUCGGAAUUGCAUUUGAAACUGGCAGGCUAGAGUCUUGUAGAGGGGGUAGAAUUUCAGGUGUAGCGGUGAAAUGCGUAGAGAUCUGAAGGAAUACCAGUGGCGAAGGCGGCCCCCUGGACAAAGACUGACGCUCAGAUGCGAAAGCGUGGGGAGCAAACAGGAUUAGAUACCCUGGUAG